UACACAAAACACAUAUCUGGACACCCCCUUUUUUUUUUUAAGGACGUUUUGUUACUCUGAGUGUCAUGAAAUCCAUUUAAUGACGUUGGGCCCAAAACAGCUGAAGCUUAAAGAGGAAAAAUGAGAUUGUCUAGUUUCUACCCUUCAGAACAACAGCUCUCUCUCUCUCUCUCUCUCUCUCUCUCUCAGAACACGCAUCGAGCAUGACAUCCACCCCACGAAUGAUACUCCGGCGACGCCAAGCUCCUGCUUAAGAGGGCUAACGUCUGCUACAACGAAGCCAGCGGCUGGAGGUAUGUUCCACGCGUUGUCGUCAUGGAUCUGGAGCUUGGGACCAUGGACAGCUUCAGAUCUAGUUUCUACGGUCAGAUCUUCCCUCCUGAUAACUUCGUCUUUGGUUAGUCUGGUGCUAGAAACAAUUUUACAAAAGGUCACUACACCGACAGGGCUGACUUGAUAGAUUCGGUUCUCAAUGUGGUGCGCAAAGAGUCGGAGAACUGUGAGUGCUUGCAAGCCCAAAGUAUAUUUUCCUCUUCUGAACUCAGCAAAACCUAUAUCGGAUAUCAAAUUGGCAAAAUAUGGUGAGUGGUUUAAUGAUUGCAGUGAUGAGAUCAGAGAAUGUUGUACCAAUGCCCUACACAGGCUUCACAAGCAAUAUGGUUGGAAGAUUGUAGAGGUGACCAUACCAGAGAUAGAGGUGAUGGGGUUGGCACAUUACUUGACAAUUGGAUCAGAGUGUAGCACUUCGCUUAGUUCUCAUCUAGAAAAGUUGGAUUUCAAAGAAUUAGGGUGGGAUGUAAGACUGUUCAUGAAGGGCGCAUAUAUCAACUAAAACUGUUCUAUGACAAAGAUUAUCCAGAGAAGCCACCAAGUGUACGAUUUCAUACACGCAUCAAGAUGACUUGUGUCAAUCAUGAAACUGGAGUGGUUGAGGACUAUCAAAAGAAAGAUCAAAAGGCCAAUAAAGUACAUUAACUACCGGGAUUAUACACGCCUCAGCUCUAUUUGAACAGUGCAAAUUACUUAGUAGCAACAGAGAAAACCUCUCCGCCAAAGCUAAGUAAAGUUUAAGGUACAUUAAGGAAGGAUCAGCAAAUAGCAUUGAAAAGACUUUCAAAACCUUCAAACCA